AUGAGUGGCGAACGGUGAGUAACACGUGAGUAACCUGCCCUCUUCUUUGGGAUAACGCCCGGAAACGGGUGCUAAUACUGGAUAUUCACUGAUCUUCGCAUGGGGGUUGGUGGAAAGGUUUUUUCUGGUGGGGGAUGGGCUCGCGGCCUAUCAGCUCGUUGGUGGGGUGAUGGCCUACCAAGGCUUUGACGGGUAGCCGGCCUGAGAGGGUGACCGGUCACAUUGGGACUGAGAUACGGCCCAG
rnacentral:rRNA from 1 species